GGGGCUGAUUCAGGAUUCGACAGGAUUGAUGAUUCCGGAGGUGCACGUCGAGGGGCGGUUUGCCUCGUAAAAAGCCGCAAAAAAUAGUCGCAAACGACGAAAACUACGCACUAGCAGCUUAAUACCCUGCUCAGAGCUCUUUUGCCCUAGCUUCCGUCCGUAAGACGGGGAACAACAAAAGAUCAAAAACCAAACGGAAUAGUGGCGAGACUCCUGCCUGAGAGGCAACCCACGAAAUUUAAAUCAGGAUAGUCGUUGAGUGGCGUGUCUGUUCGCAGCUCCUCGGUGAAUUUAAAAACUGACUAAACGUGUAGUACCAAAGGGUGACCUUUUCUGGACGGGGGUUCGACUCCCCCCAGCUCCACCA
rnacentral:tmRNA from 1 species